rnacentral:rRNA from 1 species
UGCCAGCAGCCGCGGUAAUACGGAGGGUGCGAGCGUUGUUCGGAAUUAUUGGGCGUAAAGCGCGUGUAGGCGGUUUGUUAAGUCUGAUGUGAAAGCCCCAGGCUCAACCUGGGAAGUGCAUUGGAAACUGGCAGACUUGAAUACGGGAGAGGGCAGUGGAAUUCCUGGUGUAGGAGUGAAAUCCGUAGAUAUCAGGAGGAACACCGGUGGCGAAGGCGGCUGCCUGGACCGAUAUUGACGCUGAGACGCGAAAGCGUGGGUAGCAAACAGGAUUAGAUACCCUGGUAGUCCACGCCGUAAACGAUGAGUACUAGGUGUUGCGGGUAUUGACCCCUGCAGUGCCGCAGCUAACGCAUUAAGUACUCCGCCUGGGAAGUACGGUCGCAAGACUAAAACUUAAAGGAAUUGGCGGGGGA